AGGGCAUCUAUUUUAGCCCUCUUACGGUCGUGCUCUGGUUGUUCUGAAGAAUAAGAACUCGAAAGAAAGAACAGACGACGCUCUGGGAUUUGGAAGAGGGGAAAUCACCGAAAAUGGCAGGCAGACUGAGCAAUUUGGGUUCAAAGGUCCUUGGCGGAAAUGGCGUUGUUGGUCGCUCAAUCGCUUCAUCUCUUCGCCUUCGCUCCGGCAUGGGCCUUCCCGUUGGAAAACACAUCGUCCCCGAUAAGCCCCUUCCUGUAAACGACGAAUUGGUUUGGGAUAAUGGAACUCCUUUUCCUGAGCCCUGUAUUGAUCGCAUUGCAGAUACGGUUGGGAAGUACGAAGCCUUGGGUUGGUUAUGUGGGGGAUUGGGAUUCUUUGCAUCUCUGGGAUUGUUGGCUGUGUGGAACGACAAAGCGUCUAGGAUUCCAUUUGCGCCGAAAGUGUAUCCAUAUGACAACCUAAGAGUGGAGCUUGGUGGAGAAGCAGAAGCAGAAGCAGAAGCAGCAUAGAUAGACAAACCUGAGGUGGAAUGAUAUGACCAUUUUGGUCUGGCACUGUUUCUUGAGUUUGGUGUACUCUUUGCCACUCUCUACAUCACUUCUCUAUUUAUUAAACAAAUACUUUCUCAGAAUAUUCCUACAUUUUACAGGGACUUUAAUUUUGGAGUCACCGUUAAAUAA